AAAAUCAGAAUGAAAAGAAAUAGAAUGGAGAGAGAGAGAGAGAGAAAGAGAGAGAGAGAGAACAAGAAAAGAAGAAGAAAGUGGAAAAGAGGGGAAAUUUCAUGCUCUAUUAAAUCUUGAAGAUUCUUUCAUCAUCAUCAUCUUCAUCCCAAUCUGAAUUUCCAUGUUUUAAUUGAGGCGGGGUUCCAUAGUUAGAUGGGUACAAAACUCUAUUUUUGGGAAUUUGCAUGUUAGAAGAAAAUUGGGGGUUUUAGAGUGUUCUUGAUUUUCUGAAAUGUAUAUCUGUUGCUUCAAAUCCUUACUAUUCGCUUUUGUUUGAUGGGUUAUUGUUGAAGUUUGUUGUGUUAUAACAUGUGGUAUUGCUUUUUUUCUAAGUGAUAGUUUUAGGAUUGGUUUUUUUUUAUUGUUUGUGGUAUGUUUCAGGUGUUUUAUGCAGAAAAUGCGUUAUGGACGCCGUGACGGUCUAACCGUCACGUCCCAAUCCAGAUGACGAUCGUUAUCAAGUGAAGACAGGUUACUCGUCAAGACCCAAAGCCCAAUGAAGAGCACUAUGAUGGGUGAUGACCAUCACCGUAACAAACAUGUCACUACUUUCUGGGCGUCUUGUGGUAACGACCAUCAUGGCCACGACUGCCAGACCGUCACCAGGCCCAAAAUGUUGUUUUAACCUUGUUUGGUGAUUUUGGGAAGGCUCCGUCCUUCUAGUGAUUUUAUAUGAUAUGCUAAGAGUCA
rnacentral:lncRNA from 1 species